rnacentral:rRNA from 1 species
GAUGAACGCUGGCGGCGUGCCUAAUACAUGCAAGUCGAGCGAACGGACGAGAAGCUUGCUUCUCUGAUGUUAGCGGCGGACGGGUGAGUAACACGUGGAUAACCUACCUAUAAGACUGGGAUAACUUCGGGAAACCGGAGCUAAUACCGGAUAAUAUUUUGAACCGCAUGGUUCAAAAGUGAAAGACGGUCUUGCUGUCACUUAUAGAUGGAUCCGCGCUGCAUUAGCUAGUUGGUAAGGUAACGGCUUACCAAGGCAACGAUGCAUAGCCGACCUGAGAGGGUGAUCGGCCACACGGGAGCUGAGACGCGGUCCAGACUCCUACGGGAGGCAGCAGUAGGGAAUCUUCCGCAAUGGGCGAAAGCCUGACGGAGCAACGCCGCGUGAGUGAUGAAGGUCUUCGGAUCGUAAAACUCUGUUAUUAGGGAAGAACAUAUGUGUAAGUAACUGUGCACAUCUUGACGGUACCUAAGCAGAAAGCCACGGCUAACUACGU